rnacentral:rRNA from 1 species
UAGAGUUUGAUCCUGGCUCAGGGCGAACGCUGGCGGCAGGCCUAACACAUGCAAGUCGAACGGACCCUUCGGGGUUAGUGGCGGACGGGUGAGUAACACGUGGGAACGUGCCUUUAGGUUCGGAAUAGCUCCUGGAAACGGGUGGUAAUGCCGAAUGUGCCCUUCGGGGGAAAGAUUUAUCGCCUUUAGAGCGGCCCGCGUCUGAUUAGCUAGUUGGUGGGGUAAUGGCCCACCAAGGCUACGAUCAGUAGCUGGUCUGAGAGGAUGACCAGCCACAUUGGGACUGAGACACGGCCCAAACUCCUACGGGAGGCAGCAGUUGGGAAUCUUGCGCAAUGGGCGAAAGCCUGACGCAGCCAUGCCGCGUGUAUGAUGAAGGUCUUAGGAUUGUAAAAUACUUCACCGGUGAAGAUAAUGACUGUAGCCGGAGAAGAAGCCCCGGCUAACUUCGUGCCAGCAGCCGCGGUAAUA